UAAAAUGCCGUGAAGGAGAAUAGUAAAAAAGUGAUGUUUUACAGAGAGUAAGUCAUGGGUGAGAGACUUAUAAACUAGCUUUUUGAACCCGCUCCGGAGCAUGUGGUGAAGAAACCAUGCGCAGCUGAUCGCGUUACGAUUAGAUGGAGUGAGCCAAUAUUGGCUAAGUAGGGUGGUACCGCGGGUAAACUCUCGUCCCUUGU
rnacentral:ncRNA from 1 species